CCUACGGGUGGCAGCAGUGAGGAAUAUUGGUCAAUGGACGAGAGUCUGAACCAGCCAAGUAGCGUGAAGGAUGACUGCCCUAUGGGUUGUAAACUUCUUUUAUAUGGGAAUAAAACGUUCCACGUGUGGGAUUUUGUAUGUACCAUAUGAAUAAGGAUCGGCUAACUCCGUGCCAGCAGCCGCGGUAAUACGGAGGAUCCGAGCGUUAGCCGGAUUUAUUGGGUUUAAAGGGAGCGUAGGUGGAUUGUUAAGUCAGUUGUGAAAGUUUGCGGCUCAACCGUAAAAUUGCAGUUGAAACUGGCAGUCUUGAGUACAGUAGAGGUGAGCGGAAUUCGUGGUGUAGCGGUGAAAUGCUUAGAUAUCACGAAGAACUCCGAUUGCGAAGGCAGUUCACUGGACUGCAACUGACACUGAGGCUCGAAAGUGUGGGUAUCAAACAGGAUUAGAUACCCGAGUAGUC
rnacentral:rRNA from 1 species